rnacentral:rRNA from 1 species
GACGAACGCUGGCGGCGUGCUUAACACAUGCAAGUCGAGCGAUGAAGUUCCUUCGGGAACGGAUUAGCGGCGGACGGGUGAGUAACACGUGGGUAACCUGCCUCAUAGAGGGGAAUAGCCUUCCGAAAGGAAGAUUAAUACCGCAUAAGAUUGUAAUGCCGCAUGGCAUAGCAAUUAAAGGAGCAAUCCGCUAUGAGAUGGACCCGCGUCGCAUUAGCUAGUUGGUGAGGUAACGGCUCACCAAGGCGACGAUGCGUAGCCGACCUGAGAGGGUGAUCGGACACAUUGGGACUGAGACACGGCCCAGACUCCUACGGGAGGCAGCAGUGGGGAAUAUUGCACAAUGGGGGAAACCCUGAUGCAGCAACGCCGCGUGAGUGAUGACGGUCUUCGGAUUGUAAAGCUCUGUCUUCAGGGACGAUAAUGACGGUACCUGAGGAGGAAGCCACGGCUAACUACGUGCCAGCCGCCGCGGUAA